rnacentral:rRNA from 1 species
CCCCUAGUAACUGCGAGUGAAGCGGGAAGAGCUCAAAUUUAAAAUCUGGCGUGCCUCCGGUCGUCCGAGUUGUAGUCUGGAGAAGCGUUUUCCGUGUUGGACCGUGUAUAAGUCUCUUGGAACAGGGCGUCAUAGAGGGUGAGAAUCCCGUCUUUGACACGGACUGCCAAUGCUUUGUGAUGCGCUCUCAAAGAGUCGAGUUGUUUGGGAAUGCAGCUCAAAAUGGGUGGUAAAUUCCAUCUAAAGCUAAAUAUAGGCGAGAGACCGAUAGCGAACAAGUACCGUGAGGGAAAGAUGAAAAGCACUUUGGAAAGAGAGUUAAACAGUACGUGAAAUUGCUGAAAGGGAAACGCUUGAAGUCAGUCGUGUCUGCCAGGACUCAGCCUCGCUUCUGCUUGGUGUACUUUCUGGUCGGAUGGGCCAACAUCAAUUUUGACCGUCGGAGAAAGGCUUUGGGAACGUGGCACCUUCGGGUGUGUUAUAGCCCUUUGUCAUAUACGGCGGUUGGGAUUGAGGACUGCAGCACGCCGUUAUUUGGGUAGGGGCAUCUCGCCCACGUACGUGCUUAGGAUGUUGGCAUAAUGGCUUUAAGCGACCCGUCUUGAAACACGGACCAAGGAGUCUAACAUGCCUGCGAGUGUUUGGGUGGAAAACCCAUGUGCGUAAUGAAAGUGACAGCUGAGAUCCUCUUCUUGUGGAGCAUCAGCGCCUGGACUUGAUCUACGGAGACGGUUCUACGGUAGAGCAUGCAUGUUGGGACCCGAAAGAUGGUGAACUAUGCCUGAAUAGGGUGAAGCCAGAGGAAACUCUGGUGGAGGCUCGUAGCGAUUCUGACGUGCAAAUCGAUCGUCAAAUUUGGGUAUAGGGGCGAAAGACUAAUCG